rnacentral:rRNA from 1 species
UACAGAGGCCUCGAGCGUUAGGCGGAAUCACUGGGCUUAAAGCGUGUGUAGGUGGAUGCCUAAGUACCUUGUGAAAUCCCACGGCUUAACCAUGGAAUUGCUUGGUAUACUGGGUGUCUUGAGCCACUCAGGGGCUACCGGAACAAGCGGUGGAGCGGUGAAAUGCGUAGAUAUCGCUUGGAACGCCAAAGGUGAAAACAGGUAGCUGGGGGUGUGCUGACACUGAGACACGAAAGCCAGGGGAGCAAACGGG